GAUGAACGCUGGCGGCGUGCUUAACACAUGCAAGUCGAACGGGAAAUACUUUAUUGAAACUUCGGUCGAUUUAAUUUAUUUCUAGUGGCGGACGGGUGAGUAACGCGUGGGUAACCUGCCUUAUACUGGGGGAUAACAGCCAGAAAUGACUGCUAAUACCGCAUAAGCGCACAGAACCGCAUGGUUCGGUGUGAAAAACUCCGGUGGUAUAAGAUGGACCCGCGUUGGAUUGGCUAGUUGGCAGGGCAGCGGCCUACCAAGGCGACGAUCCAUAGCCGGCCUGAGAGGGUGAACGGCCACAUUGGGACUGAGACACGGCCCAGACUCCUACGGGAGGCAGCAGUGGGGAAUAUUGCACAAUGGGGGAAACCCUGAUGCAGCGACGCCGCGUGAAGGAAGAAGUAUCUCGGUAUGUAAACUUCUAUCAGCAGGGAAGAUAAUGACGGUACCUGACUAAGAAGCCCCAGCUAACUACGUGCCAGCAGCCGCGGUAAUACGUAGGGGGCAAGCGUUAUCCGGAUUUACUGGGUGUAAAGGGAGCGUAGACGGCGCAGCAAGUCUGAUGUGAAAGGCAGGGGCUUAACCCCUGGACUGCAUUGGAAACUGCUGUGCUUGAGUGCGGGAGGGGUAAGCGGAAUUCCUAGUGUAGCGGUGAAAUGCGUAGAUAUUAGGAGGAACACCAGUGGCGAAGGCGGCUUACUGGACGG
rnacentral:rRNA from 1 species